rnacentral:lncRNA from 1 species
GUAAGGACAUCUGUCCCGGGUAAUUACCGUCGUUCACAGUUUAAUUCCGUUUACAGCUACUAAGCCUGACCCGUAAGCGCAUUACCGGAGCAGCGCAGCGCAAACACGAGCGCUCGCGCAGUCCGUAGAGGUGCGAGUGUCCCACCCAGAUCUCAUCAGCAUGAAUAACAGAUUACAGCAGGCGUUACCAGAGCCAUCGGUGAGAUGUGAAAUGAACCAUCAGUGCAAUUCAUAAAGCCUGUCAUCGGUUACAGAGGCGUCACUCUCACUUCAUGCCAAGCGUCAGCGUCGCUGUCACACGUAAGGACUGUCAGAUGUCAGAAAGAGAGUGCUGGUAAUUCAGUACCCAAAGAGUUGAAGAUGAUGGACACACAGCGUGCUUUGCUGGCGGUGGAGCGGCUGCAGGAGAGGCUGAAGAAGAAGGGAGAACUGCCUGCUGAGGAAAAACUCAGUCUGCUCAAGAGUGUCUUACAGAGUCCCCUGUUUCACCAGAUACUCAUCAUGCAAGACACCGGACAACAGCAUCAGCAACGACAGGUCAGAGACGAAUAACAUCAUCAUUAUACUGCAUGACCAAAAAAUAAAAAAUAUGG